rnacentral:rRNA from 1 species
CAGAGGUCCCAAGCGUUGUUCGGAUUUACUGGGCGUAAAGGGAGCGUAGGUGGCGGGCUAAGUCUACUGUGAAAGCUCUGAGCUUAACUCAGAAAUGGCAGUGGAUACUAGUUCGCUUGAGGAUUGGAGGGGAGACUGGAAUGCUCGGUGUAGCAGUGAAAUGCGUAGAUAUCGAGCGGAACACCAGUGGCGAAGGCGAGUCUCUGGACAAUUCCUGACACUGAUGCUCGAAAGCUAGGGGAGCAAACGGGAUUAGAUACCCCGGUAGUCCUAGCUGUAAACGGUGCACGCUUGCUGUAGCUGGAAUCGACCCCGCCUGUAGCGAAGCUAACGCGUUAAGCGUGCCGCCUGGGAAGUACGGUCGCAAGAUUA